rnacentral:rRNA from 1 species
GCCUGCGGCCACACCAACCCUGAAGGUGCCUGAUCUUGAAAACGAUCCAGGGCUGGGCCUGGUUAGUUCCUGGAUGGAAGACCGCCUUGGAAUACCAGGUGUCAAAGCUU